rnacentral:rRNA from 1 species
AACGAACGCUGGCGGCGUGGAUAAGACAUGCAAGUCGAACGAGACUUUUCGUUGUAGCAAUACGAUGGAAAGUUUAGUGGCGAACGGGUGCUUAACACGUGGGCAACCUGCCAGGAAGUGGGGGAUAGCUCGCCGAAAGGCGAAUUAAUACCGCAUGUGAUUAGAAAGGACAUCCUUUCGAAAUUAAAGUCGGGGCAACCUGACGCUUCUUGUGGGGCCCGCGGCCUAUCAGCUAGUUGGUGAGGUAAUGGCUCACCAAGGCUUUGACGGGUAGCUGGGCUGAGAGGACGACCAGCCACACUGGGACUGAGACACGGCCCAGACACCUACGGGUGGCAGCAGUCGAGAAUUUUUGACAAUGGGGGAAACCCUGAUCGAGCGACGCCGCGUGGAGGAUGAAGGUCUUCGGAUUGUAAACUCCUGUCAUUGGGGAACAAGGUGCAUACGUUAACUGCGUGUGCAUUGAUAGUACCCGAAGAGGAAGAGACGGCUAACUCUGUGCCAGCCGCCGCGGUAAGAC